AUUGAACGCUGGCGGCAGGCCUAACACAUGCGAGUCGAACGGUAACAGGAAGAAGCUUGCUUCUUUGCUGACGAGUGGCGGACGGGUGAGUAAUGUCUGGGAAACUGCCUGAUGGAGGGGGAUAACUACUGGAAACGGUAGCUAAUACCGCAUAACGUCGCAAGACCAAAGAGGGGGACCUUCGGGCCGCUUGCCAUCGGAUGUGCCCAGAUGGGAUUAGCUAGUAGGUGGGGUAACGGCUCACCUAGGCGUCGAUCCCUAGCUGGUCUGAGAGGAUGACCAGCCACACUGGAACUGAGACACGGUCCAGACUCCUACGGGAGGCAGCAGUGGGGAAUAUUGCACAAUGGGCGCAAGCCUGAUGCAGCCAUGCCGCGUGUAUGAAGAAGGCCUUCGGGUUGUAAAGUACUUUCAGCGGGGAGGAAGGGAGUAAAGUUAAUACCUUUGCUCAUUGACGUUACCCGCAGAAGAAGCACCGGCUAACUCCGUG
rnacentral:rRNA from 1 species